UGGGGAAUAUUGCACAAUGGGCGCAAGCCUGAUGCAGCCAUGCCGCGUGUAUGAAGAAGGCCUUCGGGUUGUAAAGUACUUUCAGUCGGGAGGAAGGUGGUAAGGUUAAUACCUUAUCAAUUGACGUUACCGACAGAAGAAGCACCGGCUAACUCCGUGCCAGCAGCCGCGGUAAUACGGAGGGUGCAAGCGUUAAUCGGAAUUACUGGGCGUAAAGCGCACGCAGGCGGUUGAUUGAGUCAGAUGUGAAAUCCCCGGGCUUAACCCGGGAAUUGCAUCUGAUACUGGUCAGCUAGAGUCUUGUAGAGGGGGGUAGAAUUCCAUGUGUAGCGGUGAAAUGCGUAGAGAUGUGGAGGAAUACCGGUGGCGAAGGCGGCCCCCUGGACAAAGACUGACGCUCAGGUGCGAAAGCGUGGGGAGCAAACAGG
rnacentral:rRNA from 1 species